UACGUAGGGUGCAAGCGUUGUCCGGAAUUAUUGGGCGUAAAGAGCUCGUAGGCGGUCUGUCACGUCGGCUGUGAAAACCCGAGGCUCAACCUCGGGCCUGCAGUCGAUACGGGCAGACUAGAGUUCGGUAGGGGAGACUGGAAUUCCUGGUGUAGCGGUGAAAUGCACAGAUAUCAGGAGGAACACCGGUGGCGAAGGCGGGUCUCUGGGCCGAAACUGACGCUGAGGAGCGAAAGCGUGGGGAGCGAACAGG
rnacentral:rRNA from 1 species